rnacentral:misc_RNA from 1 species
GAACGCACCUUGCGCCCUUUGGCCAUUCCGAAGGGCAUGCCUGUCCGAGCGUCAUUACUACCUUCAAGCACGGCUUGAUUGUUGAGCCAAUUGUUCUUUGAUGGACAGGCUUGAAAUGCAGUGGCAAUGCCAGAGUCCUGGUGCCCGAGCGUAUGGAGCUCUGUCACACGCUUUAGUGGCCCAGCCGGCAUUUUGUCGAUUAACCCCUUUUUAAAACCUAAGAUUUAACCUCGGAUCAGGUAAGGAUACCCGCUGAACUUAAG